GAACCCGGAACCAUGUGGUUCAUAAGCAAGCUACUUACCACACAGCCAGUCCUGCGCCUAUAAAAAUUAUAUUGUGGCAGCGGUGGGAUAUAUAUAUAUACAUAUAUAUAUAUAUAUGUAUGAAUGUCUGUAUCUAUUUUGCCAUCACAGCAUGUUAUAAAUGAAUAUUGAAACCACAAACAAUAUGAUUAAUAAGAUAUAUAUCCACAGUAAGUGUAGAGGCCUGUGUGGUUUAUCCAUGGGUCAGAUACAUUAAACAUAUUGUAUGAUAUCAGCAAAUGUGUGUGUGUGUGUACAAUGUUUUUAUACAUGUAUUCUUUCACGUUAUCACCGUUCGCAUCACCAAACUCUGGGCGUGUGGGUGUUUAACAUUAACAUGUGCCAUAUUCCUCGCUAUCCCAAUGGCCUACACCAUCUGGUUGUUCAACUUCCAGUCCUCCAUAAAAAUAGAUUUGGGCCUUGUCUAGUGUAAUAACAGAGCCGGCUUUCUGAUGGAGAAAGAAAAAGAUCAUGUGGCUAUCGACUGAUACAUCUUUAUGUUUACAUACAUAUGUAUACACAACUAUGCACUUUCUGUUUCUCUGUCUCCUCACACCUACACACACACACACACUUGAAUUAUAUAUGUAUGUAUAUGUUCAUGUGUAUGUAUACAUGUAUAUAAUACCUUUGUUCUUCAAACCACUUGUUUCAUUUUAAAAUGAUUCCCAUCAGAGUGAGAAGUCCAUGAAUGAUUACUUUAGCUCUGCAUUCCUAGCAUUGAGUACUUUUGUUGAUUGUAGUAAAUCCUGUUAUCAAUAACAUACACCUUCAGUUAUGUGUGUGUGGAACUAAUUUAACAAUAUAUAUGUGCAUAUGUACACACACAUACGUACACCAUUUAUUUGUGUAUGUGUGUAUAUAUAUAUAUAUAUAUAAUUAUUUAAAAGUUUGCAUUAUGAUUUAGGAGUUGUAGUGCAAGCUCUUAAAUAACAAAGCUAUGGUACUCUACACUUAUAUUUUGUAUUAAGUACUACACCUGAAAGGUAGUCCACUUUUUAAUCAAUUUCAGUAAAUUAAUGACAUAGCUUUACAUAUAUACACACACACCACACAUAUCUUUUUACAUAUGUGUAUAUAUAUAUAUAUAUAUAAUUAUUUAAAAGUUUGCAUUAUGAUUUAGGAGUUGUAGUGCAAGCUCUUAAAUAACAAAGCUAUGGUAGUCCACUUUUUAAUCAAUUUCAGUAAAUUAAUGACAUAGCUUUACAUAUAUACACACACACCACACAUAUCUUUUUACAUAUGUGUAUAUAUAUAUAUAUAUAUAAUUAUAUACACUAAUUUACAUAUAUGUGUGUGCUUGCACAGAUGUGUGUCUGUGUGUGUAUAUAUGUAUAUAUACACACAGCUGGAAACUUACUCUCCCACUCGCUACUACACACACACAUACAUAUAUACAUACAUACACACAUAUAUAUAUGUAUACAGUCUCGAUCCAUCUCAGGCCCUGUGUCUGUCUCAUUCACCAUUGUUCCACUAAAAACUGUUUAAAAUAAUCAAAAAAUUAAUAAUAAAGUAACCAUUAAAACAAAGAA
rnacentral:lncRNA from 1 species